rnacentral:tRNA from 1 species
UGCAUCGGCCGGGAAUCCAACCCGGGCCGCCCGCGUGGCAGGCGAGCAUUCUACCACUGAAGAAACGUC